GUCUAAAUAGCUCAGUAAGAGCAAUCGCUCGGUAAGCGAAAGACUCGGGUUUGAUUCCCGAUUCAGCG
rnacentral:tRNA from 1 species